GUCAGACUUCGGUUUGAAAAGUCACUUCUCUCCGAACUUUCAUAUCCAGGUAUCCUCUUCGUUUUUGGAAAGGUUGUCAGUGCUCGGAUGACUCCUUCUGUAAAAAGCAGAGAGGAUCACAGAUUACUUUGGGAAACGAAACAGAAGUAAUCUCUUACAAAGACACCCUAUAUACACAAGGACUCUGCAACAAAGGAUUCGGCCAUUAUAAAUUCAAGCUGGCAACCAGACUCGGUCUUUGAGCUCCCAGUUUUCACGAAUGGUGAGAAGGCAAUUACCACACAGCACCUCAGAGCCCUUUAAUACAGCAACUAAGUGGAUAUAAAACAUCACUUACUCCAGG